UCUGUAUAAAAAUUUAAACAAGAUCUCUGCACUAGUUCGAACAUCGAUUCGCGACAGUUGAUUUCAUCAAUAUUCCAUUUGUCCAAGUAUUGACUUGAUACGAUAUUUCAAAUUAAUGCGAUUGUUUUCAGAUAUCGUUGGAAAAAAAAAACAACACUAAUAUGCUGAUAUCUGAAAUACCAAUAUUUCCUCAGUAUACAAUCUAUGUAAAUCGAAUGGAGUCAUUUGAAAUCUGGCCGAAACAUUUACCAGCGAAGAAGGAAGAUCUUGUCGAAGUAGGACUUGUAUUUACUGGAGUUUGCGACAACGUACACUGCUUGUUUUGCGGCGGUGAACUGAGGAAUGGGGAACAGGAUGCUGUACCAAUGGAAGAACAUAAUAAUUGGUAUCUAUAUUGGUGCCUAUACGUGCUAUUUAUAAAGAAUCAGGCUAAUGUAGAAAAACAUGGGCUUAAACCUAAUCGAAAACCUUCCAGGAAUUGUCGAAAUAGUGGAAUAUUCGAAGUUUGUUCUAUAGAGUAUGGCGAGAGAAAUUUGAAGCGUGAAAGAUAGAAAACUAUGAUACCUGAAAUCUUGGCUGCAUGUUACUCAAAGCCGACCGAAUGAUCUCAUACGAAACGAACCGAGUUUAUAGAAAUAGUUCUGAGAUAAACCCGUACAAAAGCGUUGCAGCUCAGAGUUGUUUGGAAAAUGAUUACCCAGAAGAAAAGGUCAAACAAGCGAUAGAUAUUUAUAUCCAAAGAAACGGUACCCGUGAAUUCAAAGGAAGAGAUUUGUGUGAGAUUAUAUUUGAACUCGAGGAAAACGAUGACCAAUAGCAUAAUCUAACAUGAUUUUUGUUUGUUUGUUUGUUUUGGGUUUAACGCCGUUUUUUAACAGUAUUUCAGUCAUGUAACGGCGGGCAGUUAACCUAACCAGUGUUCCUGGGUUCUGUACCAGUACAAACCUGUUCUCCGCAAGUAACUGCCAACUUCCCCACAUGAAUUAACUCGUGUAAGAUGUGAAUACAAAAUCUAGAUUCUUUGGCAUUAUUUGCUUUUGACCAUUUGAGUUGCAAACAUUGUGUUCCAGUGUUUCACCUUCUACAAGCAACUUAUAUGAUCAAGACGUUUCCAUUCUACAACCGAUUACUGAAGUAUUUAAACAAUGGAUCAUAUUUUUAGCUCGACUAUUCGAAGAAUAAGUAGAGCUAUCCUACUCACCACGGCGUCGGCGUCAAACCUUAGCUAAGUUUUUCGUACCAGUCCACAUUAUGACAAAGUCUUUUGGGGUAAAGCUUUGAAACUUUCAACACUUGUUUACCGUCACCAUGUCCAGUUUUAGGCAAGAGUACAUAACUCCAUCAAGGAGUUUGGCUGAAUUAUGGCCCCUUUUAACUUACAAAUCUUGGAUAAAUUUUUUUUGUACCAGUUCAUAUUUUUUGUAAAGUGUUUGACAUAUGGCUUUGAAACUUUUAUCACUUGUUUAUUAUAACAGUCUCUAUCUGUAGGCAAGAGUACAUAACACGGUCAGCUAUUUUGGCUAUAUUAUGGCCCUUUUUGGACUUUAUUACAAUUUUCGUACAAGUCGACGUUUUGUCAAAACUAUUUGACAUGUGGCUUUGAAACUUUGAAAUCUUGUUUAUCAUCUUGAUUUCCAUCUAUAGGCAAGAGUACAUAACUCUGUCAACUUUUUUGGAUGAAUUAUGCCCCUUUUGGACUUGGAAAUUGGUUCAGUUUUUGUACAAGUCAGCGUUUAGUCAAAACUAUUUGACAUGUGGCUUUGAAACUUUGAAGACUUGUUUAUCAUCAUAAUUUCCAUCUGUAGGCAAGAGUACAUAACUCUGUCAACUAUUUUGGCUGAAUUAUAGCCCUUUUUGAACUUAGAUAUCAGUUAAAUUUUUCAUACCAGUCAAUAUUUUGCCUUACCUGUUCGUCAUACGGCUUUGAAACUUUGACCACUUGUUUACCAUCAUAGUCUGCAUAUGUAGGCAAGACUACAAACCUAGGACAAUGACUUUAGCUCAGUUAUGGCCCUUUUUUGACAUUGAAAUUAGUUACGUUUCGCAUACCAUUCCAUAUUUUGUCUAAACUGUUUGAUAUAUGGCUUUGAAACUUUGAAUACUUGCUUAUCAUCAUAGUUACACAUUGCCAUAUAGUGCAAGACUUAUCCACUAAUACAGCUACAUUGUUUGUCUUAUCUAUUAUUUUUCUUUUGUCUGAAAAUCUCUGGUAAUAUUCUGACCCCAUACUUCCAUCAAUUCUUCGAAUAGCCGAGCGCGCUGUCAACAGACAGCUCUUGUUUUGUAAAUAGUGUUAAGUAGAUGUGGGACUUUAAGUCUCAGGUAAUAAGUACCAUGUUUCUUACAUACCGGACAGGAUUUUCCAGUGUUUUUGCCGAUGCUCACAAAACUCGUCUUACAUCCCAAGGUGAAAGAUGACUCUCGUGCUAACAUUUAUGAAUAACUGCGUAAAUUCAUAAGCUGCUACAAUAAAAGAAUGUCUAAAGGAAAAGCAUUCGGUUUACUUUAUUUCUUCUAUUAAAUGAAGAAUAUGGCAUGCAAGAAAAAGACUAUCACUAGUUGAAUGUACUGAUGGAAAUAUCAGGCUCUCGGGUAACUGUUUUGUGGUAACUCGCAGAGUCUUGUUACCGCCUUAACAGUUACCCUUGAGCCUAUGUCCAUCUGCACCUUCAACCAGUGAAAGAUUCUUAGAUUAUGUACUCUUUGUAUACAUAAAUAUUAUUCAUCGAUUCGAGUACUACGUGUAUAUAGGUAUGCUGUAUUUGUACAGAAAAUUUAGAAACUAAAUCUUAUGCCGUUAUUGUUCCAGUUAUGUUCAAAUUGCAUGCGGAGUGUUUUGAAAGUGAGUUUUAUAUCGGUUCCACCAACAGACUUUUUGUUAUAAUAAUCUCAGCCAGUGUGUUCUGUUUGUGUUUUUAUACAUAUAUAUAAGAUACUUUAUAACAUUAUAAUAAAUGCAAUUUUUUUAACAUGUUUUACACGUAUUUUUAAUUUUAUUUCUUCUGAAUAAUGUUUCUAUUCUGUUCUUGCAUUUUAUUUGCGAUAUUUUUCAUUAGACAGAAAACGUUAUGAACGAUCUAAUAACAAAUACGCGAAAAGACUGGCAUAAGAUAAGAUGUGCUGAAUGUGUAUUGAUAGUAAUGUUAUGUUAUCACCUUAAUAGGAGAGGUUCAUAUGAAAUAUGUGUGUUUCUUGUCAUUGAAAAUUAUAAGUAAUCUUUUAACACAUUUUUAUUUGACAUAAUCCCUAAAAUUUUAAUUUAAAGUUAAAAGUAUAUUAUAAGGCGCUGAGGAACGAGCCCCAAGCUCUUCAAAGUUAUAGCUAAACCUGCAUUGUGUAUAUUAUGGGCAUUUUAUUACUUUUUAUUUCAGUAAAUGAAUCCUAAAUAACAACAACUUUUGCUUGCUUCAGAUAUUUUAAUGUAAAAUGUUCGGUGUCAGUAAGGUAUCUGUAAAAAGAUCAUUUAGCGGAUUUGCAUACAGAUGACGUGUUAAUGUUAGCUAAUUGUCGUAACCGAGACAAAAAAGAGAUAACUAUGAUUUCAAUUAAGUUCCUUUGCAUCACUUUCUUUCAUAUUCAUUAACAGGUGUUAGAACUUACCGUUAAGGAUAAUCUGUCAGUUGCUCAGAUGUAUAUAAACAGAAUGAUCAUUUGAGAUUUUUGAUACGUGUGGACACGUCCUAUCAUUUCAAAUAUGAUUAGUCAGUAAAAUGAAUCGUAAUUAUUGAUAUGAUGAUAAUUUUUUCACACGUAUAAACAGUAAACUGUAUCGAUCUGUUCAACUGACAGGGCAUCCUAAACGGUGAGUAUGUCACAGGAUCUGUAGUUCUAAGCGCAUGUUAUGAAACAUUUAUAAAGGUAUUCGUCAAUGUGCACAAACCGUCCACUGUAUUGUACAUGAGGUGUUCAAUAAUUAUUGCAGGUUAUUGCAUUUACGUUAAUCCUCCGUUCAAGGUAGCAAAUUUAUAUGAUUAGUUUAUACUAUAAUAUAGUAUAAUACAGUAUAGUCUAUAUGGAUACUUUCUUUUAUAUCAUUUAUGUUAUACUGGAUAUCUGACAAUGAUAUUUGACAUUCUUAUAUGUACUUUCUGUUCAGGGUUAUAUUCUUAUAGCUUGAUUAAUAACACAUACGGUUUGUGUUGUUGUUUUUUUGUUUCAGUGUAAAUUGUAUAUGUUAUUUUCAUGAUCAAAAUAUAUUUUGAAUUUAAAUAAAACAAACUGUUAUUAUA